rnacentral:tRNA from 1 species
GGGCGGAUGGUUUAGUGGUAUAAUACUCCCUUAGCAUAAUGUCGCAAGCGAACAAAAUCUGGGAGUGGUCCGGGGUUCGAUUCCCCGUCUGUCCA